rnacentral:lncRNA from 1 species
GCAGAGUGGUGUCAAGCCUACGCAAGAGUAGAAACAAUCAGACAAGACCUUCAUUGUUUCUUUAAAAAUCUACUGUAGACUUCGUGUGAAAGUCGUCACAAUGUCAAAUUAUGAUAGAAGAAGAUGUUACAGACAAUGUCCAUCAUUUCGCAAUGUGAUAUUUUUAACAGUUUAAACUAAGACUUGUCCAUUUCAUGACCAUGGUGACAAUACAAGAUCAACUCAAGGUUAACAUCCUUACAUCUUUUUCUCAAAUUUCAUAAAUAAGAAGUCUUAAUCAACCAUACUUAUUUUCUUCCCUUUCAAUCCUCCAGAUAUUGAAGUGCAGUAUCUAAUUGUACUAAUAAUUAAGUUUUAGACAAGAUUUAUAGGCACAUUUAGCAGCAGAUUAUAUCCACAAGCAGAACACUUCUUGCUUCCCAUCCCC